GAUGAACGCUAGCGGCAGGCUUAACACAUGCAAGUCGAGGGGCAGCACGUCUUCGGAUGGUGGCGACCGGCGCACGGGUGCGUAACGCGUAUACAACCUACCUUAUAGAGGGGAAUAGCCCAGAGAAAUUUGGAUUAAUGCCCCAUAGUAUUAUUGAAUAGCAUUAUUUGAUGAUUAAACAUUUAUGGCUAUAAGAUGGGUAUGCGUUCUAUUAGCUAGAUGGUAAGGUAACGGCUUACCAUGGCGACGAUAGAUAGGGGUCCUGAGAGGGAGAUCCCCCACACUGGUACUGAGACACGGACCAGACUCCUACGGGAGGCAGCAGUGAGGAAUAUUGGACAAUGGGCGAGAGCCUGAUCCAGCCAUGCCGCGUGCAGGAAAACGGCCCUAUGGGUUGUAAACUGCUUUUAUACGGGAAGAAACACUCCUUCGUGAAGGAGCUUGACGGUACCGUAAGAAUAAGGAUCGGCUAACUCCGUGCCAGCAGCCGCGGU
rnacentral:rRNA from 1 species